rnacentral:rRNA from 1 species
AGUGAACGCUGGCGGUAGGCCUAACACAUGCAAGUCGAACGGCAGCACAGUAAGAGCUUGCUCUUACGGGUGGCGAGUGGCGGACGGGUGAGGAAUACAUCGGAAUCUACUUUUUCGUGGGGGAUAACGUAGGGAAACUUACGCUAAUACCGCAUACGACCUACGGGUGAAAGCAGGGGAUCUUCGGACCUUGCGCGAUUGAAUGAGCCGAUGUCGGAUUAGCUAGUUGGCGGGGUAAAGGCCCACCAAGGCGGCGAUCCGUAGCUGGUCUGAGAGGAUGGUAGGCCGCAUUGGAAGGUGACCAGGGUCCAGGCUCCUAAGGGAGGGAGCAGUGGGGAACAUGGGACAAUGGGCGCAAGCCUGAUCCAGCCAUAGCGCGUGGGUGAAGAAGGCCUUCGGGUUGUAAAGCCCUUUUGUUGGGAAAGAAAAGCAGCAGGUUAAUACCCCGCUGUUCUGACGGUACCCAAAGAAUAAGCACCGGCUAACUUCGUG